rnacentral:lncRNA from 1 species
GUUGUAAAGGUGGGGCACUAAUCUGAUAGGGCUGGUGUCCUUACAAGGUCAGGAAGAGAUCUCUCUCUCUCUCUCUCUCUCUCUCUCUGCCAAGUGAGGACACAGGAAGACGUGACCACGCAGGGAGAAGAUCGCCGUCUACAAGCCAGGAAGAGAGCCCUCACCAGCCCCUGACCCUGCUGGCACCCUGAUCGUGGACUUUCAGCCUGCAGAACUGUGAGAAAAUCAAUUUCUGUUGCUUAAGCCACCCAGGUGUUGGUAUUUUGUUAUGGCAGCCUGAGCAGACUGAGACAAGUACCUACUGCUCGAGACGUGGGUCUGAAGGGAGAGAAAUCCCCUCAUCUCUGAUUCUGUGAUUUGGUUUGCGAGCUGCAAGAAUAUGAGUGAAGGGAAGUGUUGAAAGAGGAUAAAAGAAGGAAUAACCCAUUAUCUAAUCACUUUGGAAAAAAUGAGUUACCUGUUUGGCUGGGUGACCUCAGAGCUUUUUCUUCCCCCUUGGCGGCUCCUGCCCAUUUGCCUUCAUGACUCCUGAAAUGUUACGUCGGCACGGAGCUUCAGCCUUGCAGCUGUCUCUGGUGAAGAGAGGGCAACAGUGUGGAGGACCCUGGAGGGAGAGGUUGCUACCAGGGGUUACCUACCUCCAGAAGUUUGAGGUCUACUCUGCUGUUAUAUUCUAAUUGGAAGAGAAAUUUAACUGACAAGACUUAACACAAAAGACAAUAAACAGAAUUUUUUAGGUGGAGAAACAUAACUUGAAGAAAAAGAAGACUCUUGCUCAUCGAUUGUUCACUUUUCGUAAAUUGCAGCUACCUAGAGUUGUACAGUUGACAUGGCUCUUUCACAUGCAUCAUCUGAUUUGAUCCCCAAAACAAGCUCAAUGGGGCAAGAAACAGCUUGAUUAAAUGAUUUACCAAAGGUUACUUGGCUGGUAAAUGGCAGCACAGAAACUGGAAUGAGGAUUUUAGUUCAUCUAGUUUUUAAAAAAUCUAUUGUGUACCUAUUAUGGGUAAGCAUUGUAUUAGAUCUUGGAGACAAAAUGUGGACAGACAAAGAGGGAACAGACAGCAAACAAAAUUUGUUUAUGACAGUUUUGAUAGAUGCAAAUGCAAGAAAAGUGAAGAUUGUGAUGAAAAUUUAUAAGAAGGUCAUACCUUUGCCUGGAGAUGGGGUUUGGGUCAAGAGAGGCUGGCCCAAAGAAGUGACAUUUAUGUUCCCAGACCAGUGUCGUGGCUCCUAGUUUAACUAGAAUUCAAUACCAAUGGGCUCUCCACUCUAGUAAGAUAGCUUACCAUAGCAAAAUAGGGAGAAAUGAGAAAUACAACAGAUGGUAGUAUGUUUUUAUCAAGCUAAAUGUAUUUAAAAUAAAGGUCUGUCUUAUUUCUCAGAUUGUCUUUCCUAUUUAUGGGUUUAAACCACUCUUUCUUUUAUACAGUGAUUGUUACGGUAAAUAAAAUUUUUUUUAGUGAAUUGCUUGGGGCUAUAAAAAAUUUCAAA